rnacentral:lncRNA from 1 species
GGAACUAAAUAGUAUUAAAUAUUAAUAAAGAGUGGCGUUACAUCUUUUAAGUCGCAAUAAAUACGCAUAACUGCAAUUUUAAUGCAAAACUGAAGUUUAUAAGGCAAGAAGAUGAGCCAUGAAAGGCAGCGUACACCAAGAAAACAAAAUUGAUGGACAUUCUCACUUUCAUUACAGCUGCAAUGCUCCUGUCUUCUUCCUCAGCCAUCCCGCUAGCUUCUUCCCCAGCCAUACCACCAGCUUCUUCCCCAGCCAUCCCAACUGCUGGUCGAGAUGAAACAACACGACCUCUCAUCGCAUCUUGUGUAAUGCUCAUCUUCGAUCCGCCGCCAGAGCCUCAACCAAAGAUGAAGAUUCUUCGGUGUAGAGACCGUUUGCGUGCAAUUGCCCAUAUCUCCAAAAUAACUGGGAGAUUAUCACCCGCGUACGUUGAAGCCCUCGAACAAGUCCCAAAAUUCAAGAAGAAUCCAAGUCUGUUGCGUAAUUAUCUUCGCAGUCUUGUCUGAAUAAGCUAAUGUCACUGUAGUUAUGAGGGUAAGAAUCAAAACAAACUCAAAUAUGAAUAAGAAUGGUAGUUUACUUUUGAAAUGAUACAUUUUCAGAUAUGCACCAUACUACAGUUUCUGUUACCUUUCGAACAAAACUGUAGAAACAUACGUAUUUGGAUGCAGUACUAGACACUAUAAAUGAUUAUUUUGUUUCUUUUUUCUUCUUUAAUACUGUCGAGUUUAACUGAAAGUGUUAAAUCCUUUUCUUUUCUGCUGGGGGCGGCAGGCAAGGAACAAAUAUAUCUUUUCCGUGAAUUUAUUGGCUGAAAGUGUUAAAUCCUUGUCUUUUCUGCUGGGGACGGCAGGCAAGGAACAAAUAUAUCUUUUCCGUGAAUUUAUUGGCUAUAUGCAAGUAAAGGGUCCCAAUAUCUAAAUCCAAAAGAUAGAAAUAAUCUGAAGAAUUAGCUAAAUUUUAUCUAAGAAUUAAUCUGAAAAGAGUGAGUUGUGGUUAAUCUUUCGGUCUUCUCAAUAAGUUAUAUAAAUCGUUCAUCUUAAUGGUGUCAAAAUCUUUAAUGGGUUGAGAUUUAGAAUGCCAACCCCUAAAUUUUAAAGAUUUUAGAUUUAUAUAAAACCCUAUCAAAAGCUAAAUGCGAUAAUUUUAUUAGUUACUACGAGGAUUCAAAUGACAAUGGAACUACACAUUUUUAGCAGAUGUUCAUUUAAGACAAAAAUAAUAAUAAUAAUAAUAAUAAUUAUUAUUAUUAUUAUUAUUAUUAUUAUUAUUAAAAUAAAACUAAUUAUCAAUUUAUAAAAAUCUUAAAACAUGUAACAUACGCAUAUUUAUGAAACAUAUUUGGUAUAUUAGAUUGGGCAUGACAAAAUCAGAAAUUAUCGUACACCUUUUUUCCUUUAUCCCGUUUAGUUUGUUCAAUCCAACAUACCAAACAAGUCCUUGUAGUGCUGCUAUUACCAAAAAAUUAUCUAAUUAAUGUAUUUUCAUAUUUUACGUCCACAAUCACUGUACAAUGUCCAUAAAGAGCAAGUUUCAGGAGAGUACCUUCUUCAUUGAUUGCC